CUGGCUGCACUUCAUUGAAGUUAAAGAUUGAGGAUCUAUGCUAUGGCUGCAAUUCAGUUGGAUUAUCCUAAAUUUUCUCUAUACCCAAAUGAUGCGAUUAAUUAUUAUUCAAUCUGUUCAAUUUAUUUAUUUAUUUAUUUGAUCUGAAGUAGCAGAGCUAUCCUGUUUUAUUUAAAAAAAAGAAAAGAUCAGAAUUUAAAGAGACUGUUUUAUAAAGCAACAAGCUCUGCUUAGAGCCCACAUAAACAAUCAGCAAUAGGCUUCAUACAGAAAAGAAAUAGGG
rnacentral:lncRNA from 1 species